CCUUCAACAGGGGACGGUUGUUCAAAGGUGGAUUAGCGCUAAACCAGGUUUAAAAUUUAACCUGUUUUAGUUUGCAUAUUUCUGCAUGUUCAUUUAUUUCAAAAUGUCAGAAAAGAAAACUUCUGUUGAUCCAGACAUGGUUUGUGAAGAAAUAUUUCCAAAUUUAUGAACAAGCUGUUGGGAAGUUUCCUUUGAAUUUUAAGUUAACCUAGGGUUAAGCUAAUCGGCUUUUGAACAACCGGCCCCAG